CCAUCAAAUAAGAAAUGGAAUUUCCUAAAUAUUUAAUCAACCUAAUCAGGAAUCCACACUUCAGGUCAAGAACAUAAUUGUUAUUUAAUUAUUGACCUAACAUGACCCUUAAAAAAUGUUUACAGAUUAGUAUCGAAACUACCAGGGGUUUACAAGUUGAUGAGACAGUUCAAAAAAAUUGAGAAUGAAACUGUGAACUUUAUAGAACAACUCAUUCAAGGCUGAAUAAAUAAA